GACGAACGCUGGCGGCGUGCCUAAUACAUGCAAGUAGAACGCUGAAGAGAGGAGCUUGCUCUUCUUGGAUGAGUUGCGAACGGGUGAGUAACGCGUAGGUAACCUGCCUGGUAGCGGGGGAUAACUAUUGGAAACGAUAGCUAAUACCGCAUAAAAUUGAUUAUUGCAUGAUAAUUAAUUGAAAGAUGCAACUGCAUCACUACCAGAUGGACCUGCGUUGUAUUAGCUAGUUGGUGAGGUAACGGCUCACCAAGGCGACGAUACAUAGCCGACCUGAGAGGGUGAUCGGCCACACUGGGACUGAGACACGGCCCAGACUCCUACGGGAGGCAGCAGUAGGGAAUCUUCGGCAAUGGGGGGAACCCUGACCGAGCAACGCCGCGUGAGUGAAGAAGGUUUUCGGAUCGUAAAGCUCUGUUGUAAGAGAAGAACGGGUGUGAGAGUGGAAAGUUCACACUGUGACGGUAUCUGACCAGAAAGGGACGGCUAACUACGUG
rnacentral:rRNA from 1 species